rnacentral:rRNA from 1 species
UACGGGGGGGGCUAGCGUUGUUCGGAAUUACUGGGCGUAAAGCGCGCGUAGGCGGAUUGGAAAGUUGGGGGUGAAAUCCCGGGGCUCAACCUCGGAACUGCCUCCAAAACUCCCAGUCUUGAGUUCGAGAGAGGUGAGUGGAAUUCCGAGUGUAGAGGUGAAAUUCGUAGAUAUUCGGAGGAACACCAGUGGCGAAGGCGGCUCACUGGCUCGAUACUGACGCUGAGGUGCGAAAGCGUGGGGAGCAAACAGG